GGGGCUAUAACUCAGUGGUAGAGUGCGUGUGUGUUUUAGCACCACAAGGUCCUGGGUUCGAUCCCUAGUACCGCCA
rnacentral:tRNA from 1 species